AAUAUCUUGGAUAUAAUGCAAAGUUACUCAAUUUACGAACAACCAGGAUUUAAUGGUAAGAUGACACAGAUGCUGGAAUUGUCAAACUAAGAUUUUAAAACAGUUAUUAUAAAAACACACUAAUAAAUGAGGGUAAACACUCUUGAAAUGAAUGAAAAGAUAGAGUCUCAACAACAAAAAAUAGAAGCUAUAUAGAAAAACUAGUGGAAUUUGUAGAACAGAAAAUAUAAUAACUCAAGUUAAAAAAAAAACAAACACCUUCACUGGAUAGGCUCAAUAGUAGAAUGUAGAUGAUGGAGGAAAUGGUCAACAGAAAUUAACCGAUUUGAAUAAUAGUACAAAGAUUGAAAAAAAAAUGUACAGAGACUCAGGAACCUCUGGGGCAAUGCCAAGGGCCUAAUAAUUGUGUCAUCAGAGUCUCAGAGGAAGAGGAGAAAGAACUCUAUGUUGAAAAAUAUUUGAAGAAAUAAUGGUUGAAAAUUUCCCCAAUUUGGUAAAAUCAAUGAAUCUUUAGAUUCAAGAAGAUAAAUAAACUCCAAAUAAGGUAAACUAAAAAAAAAAAUCCAUAAUCAGACACAGCAUCAUCAAACUACUAAAAACUAAAAACAAAACAAAACAAAACAACUCAAAAUCAGCUAGAGAAAAGCAAUAUUUGUAAGAGAAAAAUUAUUUUAAUGAUUGUGGAUUUCUCCUCAGAAACCACAGAGGCCAGAGGAAAGUGACACAGUAUUUUUGAAGUGCUGUAAAAAAAAGAACAGUUAACCUAGAAUUCUAUAUCCAGUAGAAGUGUUCUUCAGAAAUGAAGGUGACCUAAAGAUACUCUCAGAUGAAGAAAAAGUAAGAGAAUUCAUUGUCAGAAAAGCUGUUCUAAAACAUUGCAAUUUGGACAGAAGAAAAUAAUAAAGACACAAUAAUGAAAUUGAGAGUAAAAAAUAGAGAAAAUCAAUGAAACCAAAAGUUGUUCUUGGAAAUGAUUUAUAAAAUUGAUAAAUGUCUACCAAUAUUGACAAAGAAGGAAAAAGGAAUCCAAAAUGCAAUGUUAGGAAUGAAUAAAGGGUUAUUACUGCAAAGCAGUCAUUAAACAGAUAAUAAGGAGAUGCUAUGAACAGCUCUACCCUCAUUUGAUUUGACUACUUAGAUGCAAUGGAUUAAUUUCUUGCAGACUACAAAUGACCAAAUUCACCUAAGAUGAAAUAAAUAAAUUGUAUAGUCUUUUGAUAAUUAAAUAAAUUACAAUUUUAGUUGAAAACCUAUCAAACAAAGAAAUCUCCAUGGUUUCACUGGAGAAUUCUACCAAACACUAGAUAAGAAAUAACACCAAUUCUAUGCAAUCUCUUCUGGAAUAUAGAACACUUCCAAAUUCAUAUUGUGAAGCCAAAAUUAUCUAAUACCAAAAUCAGACAAAAGCAGUAUAAGAAAACUACAGGAGUUCCUGCUGUGACCCAACGGGAUUGGUGGUGCCAGGAUGCAGGUUUGAUCCCCAGUCCAACACAGUGGGUAUAAAGGAUCUGGCUUUGCACUGUCUGUGGCAUAGAUCAUGGCUCAGAUCUGUUCCCUGGCCCCUAGACUCCAUAUGCCAUGGGGUGGUCAAAACUGAAAGAAAAGAAAAUAGAAAACUACAGUUCAAUAUCUUUCAUAAACAAAGUCACAAACAUCCUCAACAAAAUAUUAGAAUAUUGAAACCAGUAAUGCUAACUGUAGUCAUUCCCAGAGCCCUAAAAAACCAGUGGCCACUUUCCCCACAUUACCCCUCAGGCUCUCUCUAACCAUAAAACCAAGUUGACAGUGUUACCCUGGAAUAAGCUUGUCCACACAUCUAGUGAUCCGAAUUGUAUGGCUGCCACCCAAGUGAAGGGACCCCAAAUCAUCUGGCUCUGAUAGCCAGUAGAACUUGCAUCCAUGAGCCCCAUAGUUGUAGAACAAACAAAGAAGUAGUUUUUAUUUUUAUUUUAUUUUAUUUAUUUUACUGUAAUUUUUAAAAGUAGUUUUAAAAUGGGUAAAGGAACACCCACUUGGGGCUAUAUAUACCUAGGCUCAGCACAGAGGGAGCAAGCAAAUAUGCCCAUCUUCCAGCUGCUGCCUGAGGGUCCAGCUUCUAAUUACCACACGUCGAGGUGCUGAUUGUGAUCCUCCCCUUUGGGACACUGAUGGGUCUUGGCACACCCUCAACUACUGGAAGCCACUAAGAACAAAGAUAGUGGCUUGGGCAAUCACAAAGGUUUGAUAUGCAACCAGAAGCCCAGUUGGGCCAAGCAGAUUGAUGAGGUUCAUCUCCUGUGUGAGACUAGUCUGUAUCAAGACUGGGAGAGGUGGCUGUUUUAUCGAAUGUGCAGAAACCAACAUAGAGAGUCAAGAAAAAUGAAGAAACAAGGGAAUAUGUUCCAACAAAAGAUAAGAUAAAUCUCCAGAAACUGACCUUAAUGAAAUGGAGAUAAGUGAUUUACCCAAAAGAGAGUUCAAAAUUGCAGUCGUUAAGAUGCUCUCUGAGGUCAGGAGAACAAUGCAUGAACAAAGUGAGGAUUUCAACAGAGACAGAAAAUAUUUUAAAAGUACCAAACAGAAAUUACAGACCUGAAUAGUACAAUAAUUGAAAUGGAAAAUUCAAUAGAGCAGUUUAAUAAAAAAUGAGAUCCAACAGAAGAAAGGAUUAGCACACUCAAAAAUAGAGAUGUGGAAUUCAUCCAAUCAGAGGAGAAAAAAGAAAAAAA
rnacentral:lncRNA from 1 species